AACUUAACAUUCUGCAUGGAAAAAACAGGAGUUUAAACUUCAAACUUUGUCUUUGCACUCACAUGGUGAGUUCCGUUCUCAUGUUUUUGGCUGGUUUAUUUCAGAGAAUAGCCUGCUGCAAGACCCAGAAUCAAUGGCCCAAAUUUGCACCGUUUGGUUCUUACGAUGAAAGACUGAUGCACAGGCAAGUUCGACAAUUUGCUCAAGGUCACAUACCAAGAUAGCAGCAAAGAUAAAAACAGAAGAAAACCUCUGGAUUGAUGGCAUGUUCCCGGUCUGUUUGAAUCUUGCUUUAAUCACAUCCAUGAAAUACACACUACUGGUGACAUAGAAUGCAUCUCAAGUGUUUUGUUAACUUCAAGUUGUUUAGAGCAGAAAAGAAUUUGCAUCAUUUUCCUGACAUUUCUCCAUAAUCCAUGGAUUUCUCCAUCCUGGAACCUGUCCGAAAUAAAAUUAGCUUCUCAUUCUCUGGAUUUUCUGUGGAGAAUCAACAGAAAAUGUAGGGACUGGAAUAAAAAGCAUGAUUAGGGGAGGUCCAUAAUGAC